rnacentral:rRNA from 1 species
ACACAUGCAGUCGAGCGGAAACGAGUUAACUGAACCUUCGGGGAACGUUAACGGCGUCGAGCGGCGGACGGGUGAGUAAUGCCUAGGAAAUUGCCCUGAUGUGGGGGAUAACCAUUGGAAACGAUGGCUAAUACCGCAUAAUGCCUUCGGGCCAAAGAGGGGGACCUUCGGGCCUCUCGCGUCAGGAUAUGCCUAGGUGGGAUUAGCUAGUUGGUGAGGUAAGGGCUCACCAAGGCGACGAUCCCUAGCUGGUCUGAGAGGAUGAUCAGCCACACUGGAACUGAGACACGGUCCAGACUCCUACGGGAGGCAGCAGUGGGGAAUAUUGCACAAUGGGCGCAAGCCUGAUGCAGCCAUGCCGCGUGUAUGAAGAAGGCCUUCGGGUUGUAAAGUACUUUCAGCAGUGAGGAAGGUGGUGUAGUUAAUAACUGCAUCAUUUGACGUUAGCUGCAGAAGAAGCACCGGCUAACUCCGUGCCAGCAGCCGCGGUAAUACGGAGGGUGCGAGCGUUAAUCGGAAUUACUGGGCGUAAAGCGCAUGCAGGUGGUUUGUUAAGUCAGAUGUGAAAGCCCGGGGCUCAACCUCGGAAUUGCAUUUGAAACUGGCAGACUAGAGUACUGUAGAGGGGGGUAGAAUUUCAGGUGUAGCGGUGAAAUGCGUAGAGAUCUGAAGGAAUACCGGUGGCGAAGGCGGCCCCCUGGACAGAUACUGACACUCAGAUGCGAAAGCGUGGGGAGCAAACAGGAUUAGAUACCCUGGUAGUCCACGCCGUAAACGAUGUCUACUUGGAGGUUGUGGCCUUGAGCCGUGGCUUUCGGAGCUAACGCGUUAAGUAGACCGCCUGGGGAGUACGGUCGCAAGAUUAAAACUCAAAUGAAUUGACGGGGGCCCGCACAAGCGGUGGAGCAUGUGGUUUAAUUCGAUGCAACGCGAAGAACCUUACCUACUCUUGACAUCCAGAGAAGCCAGUAGAGAUACAGGUGUGCCUUCGGGAACUCUGAGACAGGUGCUGCAUGGCUGUCGUCAGCUCGUGUUGUGAAAUGUUGGGUUAAGUCCCGCAACGAGCGCAACCCUUAUCCUUGUUUGCCAGCGAGUAAUGUCGGGAACUCCAGGGAGACUGCCGGUGAUAAACCGGAGGAAGGUGGGGACGACGUCAAGUCAUCAUGGCCCUUACGAGUAGGGCUACACACGUGCUACAAUGGCGCAUACAGAGGGCAGCAAGCUAGCGAUAGUGAGCGAAUCCCAAAAAGUGCGUCGUAGUCCGGAUUGGAGUCUGCAACUCGACUCCAUGAAGUCGGAAUCGCUAGUAAUCGUGGAUCAGAAUGCCACGGUGAAUACGUUCCCGGGCCUUGUACACACCGCCCGUCACACCAUGGGAGUGGGCUGCAAAAGAAGUAGGUAGUUUAACUUCGGGAGAACGCUUA